CACCCUACACAUAGACACACACCCCCCGCACAUGCACACGUCACAUCAGCAUCAAUCACACACCCCACUCACACACACCACGUACACAGUCGCACACACACACCCCACACAUGCACACGUCACAUCAGCAUCGAUCACACACCCCACUCACACACACCACGUACACAGUCACACACACACACACCCCACACAUGCACACGUCACAUCAGCAUCGAUCACACACCCCACUCACACACACCACGUACACAGUCACACACACACACACCCCACACAUGCACACGUCACAUCAGCAUCGAUCACACACCCCACUCACACCACGUACACAAACACACACACGCCCCACACAUGCACAUGUCACAUCAGCGUCGAUCACACAUCCCACUCACACACACCACGUACACAGUCACACACACACACCCCACACAUGCACACGUCACAUCAGCAUCGAUCACACACACCACUCAUACCACAUACACAGUCACACACACACACCCCCCCCACACACAUGCACACGUCACAUCAGCAUCUAUCACACACCCCACUCACAGACACCACAUACACAGUCAGACACACACCCCACACAUGCACACGUCACAUCAGCAUCGAUCACACACCCCACUCACACACACCACGUACACAGUCACACACACACACACCCCACACAUGCACACGUCACAUCAGCAUCGAUCACACACACCACGUACACAGUCACACACACACACACACCCCACACAUGCACACGUCACAUCAGCGUCGAUCACACACCCCACUCACACACACCACGUACACAGUCACACACACGCACACCCCACACAUGCACACGUCACAUCAGCAUCGAUCACACACCCCACUCACACCACGUACACAGUCACACACGCACACACCCCACACAUGCACACGUCACAUCAGCGUCGAUCACACACCCCACUCACACCACGUACACAGUCAGACACACACACACACCCCACACAUGCACACGUCACAUCAGCAUCGAUCACACACUCCACGUACACAGUCACACACACACACACCCCACACACAUGCACACGUCACAUCAGCGUCGAUCACACACCCCUCACACACACCACGUACACAGUCACACACACGCACACCCCACACAUGCACACGUCACAUCAGCGUCGAUCACACAUCCCACUCACACACACCACGUACACAGUCAGACACACACACACACCCCACACAUGCACACAUCACAUCAGCGUCGAUCACACAUCCCACUCACACACACCACGUACACAGUCAGACACACACACACACCCCACACAUGCACACGUCACAUCAGCAUCAAUCACACACCCCACUCACACACACCACG
rnacentral:lncRNA from 1 species